GUGCUCACUUCAGCAGCACAUAUAAGAAGAUUGGAAUGAUUUAGGGAAGGUUAGCACAGCCCCUGUACAAGGAUAACUUGCGAAUUUGUGAAAUUCCAUAUAUUGUG